rnacentral:rRNA from 1 species
GACGAACGCUGGCGGCGUGCCUAAUACAUGCAAGUCGAGCGAAGUUUUUCUGGUGCUUGCACUAGAAAAACUUAGCGGCGAACGGGUGAGUAACACGUAAAGAACCUGCCUCAUAGACUGGGACAACUAUUGGAAACGAUAGCUAAUACCGGAUAACAGUAUUUCUCGCAUGAGAGAUAUUUAAAAGUUGGUUAUGCUAACACUAUGAGAUGGCUUUGCGGUGCAUUAGCUAGUUGGUGGGGUAAAGGCCCACCAAGGCGACGAUGCAUAGCCGACCUGAGAGGGUGAUCGGCCACACUGGGACUGAGACACGGCCCAGACUCCUACGGGAGGCAGCAGUAGGGAAUCUUCCGCAAUGGGCGAAAGCCUGACGGAGCAACGCCGCGUGAGUGAAGAAGGAUUUCGGUUCGUAAAGCUCUGUUGUUAGGGAAGAAUGGAUAUGUAGUAACUAUACAUGAAAGAGACGGACCUA